rnacentral:piRNA from 1 species
UAUCUUGCUGAUGGUUCUUUGUCGGAGA